rnacentral:rRNA from 1 species
GGGCCCGCACAAGCGGUGGAUUAUGUGGAUUAAUUCGAUGCAACGCGAAAAACCUUACCUGGCCUUGACAUGUACCGAAUUUAGCAGAGAUGCUUUAGUGCUCGUAAGAGAACGGUAACACAGGUGCUGCAUGGCUGUCGUCAGCUCGCGUCGUGAGAUGUUGGUUAAGUCCCGCAACGAGCGCAACCCUCACUUUUAGUUGCCAUCAUUAAGUUGGGCACUCUGAAAGAACUGCCAGUGAUAAGCUGGAGGAAGGUGGGGAUGACGUCAAAAUCAUCACGGCCCUUACGUCCUGGGCUACACACGUGCUACAAUGGCUAGGACAGACGGCCGCAAACCCGCGAGGGGGAGCCAA